UGGGGAAUAUUGGACAAUGGGCGAAAGCCUGAUCCAGCAAUGCCGCGUGAGUGAUGAAGGCCUUAGGGUUGUAAAGCUCUUUUACCCGGGAUGAUAAUGACAGUACCGGGAGAAUAAGCCCCGGCUAACUCCGUGCCAGCAGCCGCGGUAAUACGGAGGGGGCUAGCGUUGUUCGGAAUUAGUGGGCGUAAAGCGCACGUAGGCGGCUUUGUAAGUUAGAGGUGAAAGCCCGGGGCUCAACUCCGGAAUUGCCUUUAAGACUGCAUCGCUAGAAUUGUGGAGAGGUAAGUGGAAUUCCGAGUGUAGAGGUGAAAUUCGUAGAUAUUCGGAAGAACACCAGUGGCGAAGGCGACUUACUGGACACAUAUUGACGCUGAGGUGCGAAAGCGUGGGGAGCAAACAGG
rnacentral:rRNA from 1 species